CAGCGUGCGUGACAGGGCCACGCCUCGCUGCGUUGGCGCCCUGGCGACUGCCUGGCUGCUGCCCAGAGGUAUAACCAGCCGGCGGAGCCGUGCGGCAGUCGGCGAGGGGAUGACAGAUCCCUGUCUGAUAUCUGAGGCCUCAGCCCACCAGGAAAGGAAGGCAACCGCCUAUUCUGGAUCUCUACCCGUGGCCACGGCCCUUACACACCUGUUACCUGUGGCAUCAACCCGCAAAACCCCUGCUGCGGGUGAGGAAGUACAGACCAGUGCAGAGAGAAGGCUAACACCAAAAUCCCCUUGAGAACAAGAUAAACACGGCCAUCCCAGCGCCGCCACCAACACCCCCCGCAUCUCUCCACCCGGUUCAGGUUCUUUGACCAAGAGAAGGAGCCGUCAGUUACUGGUUGCGUGGGAAGGCAGAGCACCGACAGACAUUGAACAUCAAGGUUCUCCUGAUUUCCUGUGAGGUCCCUCCCCCUCACCAUCGCCGGCAUUGACGCUCCACCGUACAUGGACCAUGAAAAGUAGUUUUGGCUCCGCCAUCCAACGCCUGUCCACUUAGAACACCUAAAAUGGCGGCCAGAUGCCCCUCUAAACAGCC
ensembl:lncRNA